UACGUAGGGUGCGAGCGUUGUCCGGAAUUACUGGGCGUAAAGAGCUUGUAGGUGGUUUGUCGCGUUGUUCGUGAAAUCUCACGGCUUAACUGUGAGCGUGCGGGCGAUACGGGCAGACUAGAGUACUGCAGGGGAGACUGGAAUUCCUGGUGUAGCGGUGGAAUGCGCAGAUAUUAGGAGGAACACCGGUGGCGAAGGCGGGUCUCUGGGCAGUAACUGACGCUGAGAAGCGAAAGCGUGGGGAGCGAACAGG
rnacentral:rRNA from 1 species